ACGGUUCCGCUACGGCGGAUGAAACGGGAACGCAGGACGGGUUCGUCCCAAUCUGCGGCUGCCCUCGCAACUGUAGGCGGCAAGUUCGGUAUCGAUCCACUGGUUGCGACCGGGAAGGGAUAUGCGAACGUCCGAGCCGCGAGCCAGGAGACCGGCCUUGGCGC
rnacentral:ncRNA from 1 species